rnacentral:tRNA from 1 species
GGGGAUAUAACUCAGUUGGUAGAGUGCUUGCCUUGCAUGCACAAGGCUCUGGGUUCAAUCUCCAGUACCACAA